rnacentral:lncRNA from 1 species
UACCUGCAAGCGCUAUGAAAUUUCAAAUAUAGAAUCGAUCCACUAGUCUCUCCUUGAAACAAUGGCUGCAGCGUUAUACGCAGCUCUGGUGUAUACCACUGGUAUAAACAUUCAGACAUCACUGAGGAGCAAAAGUGAUGAUAUUACUUUAUACUUAUAGCAUUGUAUCAACUUCUGUUCACUUAGAUAUAACAGUUUGAAGUAAGUCUUUACUUGACGAUGUUCUAGUUGAACUGAACCAAGAAAGUGAACCUGAAUCCCGUAGCUUUUCAGGUCACAGUAGGCUUAGAUCUGAGCUGUCUUACUGUUGUCUAGUGGUAGACUACCACUGAAGUGAGGAUUAGGAAGAGAUUGUUGUCUUUGCUUUUACUACCUGAGGCCAUGAUUACAUGUAAUGAAACAUCACUUUGACUGUUUGAAACUUUAAGCUGAACAAAACAAAAAAUGAGAAUCAAGUCCUGGCUCCUGUCACCAUGCACAGUCCUUCUCAGAACUUACCUGAAGACAACUGCAGAUUAGAAGCUGAAAGUGAUAGAACACCACUGAAGUGAGGAUUGAGAAGAGUUAUUUGGUCUCAAGUUACCUCCAUUCCACAUGUAUAUGAUGUAAUAAGGAUUCUGGGCAACCGUCCUCUUAUAACUUGUUUUAGUAGGCCAUGACAAGAUGCUUAGAAACAUCACUUUGAGACCUUGAAGAAAACAAACGUGAGUAACUUUUUGUUUUAAACUCUUGAAGCAUAAGUUAAGACACUGCUCAUUUGCAACUUAUGAAAUAACACAGUGGAUUAUUACUUACAAUUGGUUGCAGAAAAUUUUCAGUCAUCUUACAAGUAAAUAUCAAUGUUUCAGAAAUGCUACUUGCAUCUCUGUACCACCGAAAACUUUACCUCAUGCAUACUACCUUGUAAAUUUCUGUAUGUCUCACAAGCCUUGAAUAAAGCUCCCAGCCUUACAAGUGUAAAUGUGUAUUGCUCCAUCCUAUGAAGUAAUCAUCAUUGAAUUACAGCCCUCAACCAACAGGAGGGAAACACAUUCUCCAAGCACAGUAAUACCCAUAAGCACUAGCACAUAGGUAUGGUACUUCCUCUUCGCACAAGAUUAGCUUUGCCCGUUUUGUGCUGCCCUCUAUAUGUGACCUUUUUUAUAAUGCAUGCCACAAGC